rnacentral:misc_RNA from 1 species
UCCGGCUUAUCACCGGCGGUUUCUUUAGAGUGCCCAACUGAAUGCUGGCAACUAAAGACAAGGGUUGCGCUCGUUGCGGGACUUAACCCAACAUGUCACCACACGAGCUGACGACAGCCAUGCAGCACCUGUCUCUCUGUCGUAUUGCUACGAAAGCCGUAUCUCUACGGUUGUCAGAGGAUGUCAAACCCAGGUAAGGUUUUUCGCGUUGCUUCGAAUUAAACCACAUGAUCCGCCGCUUGUGCGGGCCCCCGUCAAUUCCUUUGAGUUUUAGCCUUGCGGCCGUACUCCCCAGGCGGGGCGCUUAAUGCGUUAGCUACGGCACAGAAUCAACCAACGUGACCCCACACCUAGCGCCCACCGUUUACAGCAUGGACUAC